GGUUCACCAACAGCGGGCGUCGGAGACAAAAAGGAAGGAACAGGAGAACAGGGUACCUCACCGGUCUCGGUUGCUCUGGGCACCGCACGAGAGAUACAGGGUACGGACGACGGCACUGCUUGUAGAGGAAAGAAACAGUUCGGGGGUUGAGCAGGCCGGGAACAAGGAGAGGCGAGUGGGGAAGACGAGGGGCAUUGCAACCGGAGCAGCCUCUUCUGUGGAGAAAUGUAACAUGGAAAAGACGAGGAAGAGUGAUCUGGGACUUUUUUCAGAGAUAUGUGCAGUAAACCACGUUCUCGAUCCUGGGUAGGAUGCAUAAAAUGGCCCAUUAUCGCCUCGGCUCCUUCCCGGUGGUCAAUCUUAAAGCAAACCGGGCUCCUGGUCAGCCCGGUGCCUCCGCACUCGUCCCGUCGGCCACCACAGACUCCCCAGACGGCUUCUUUUUUGCAGAAGUCUUUGUGGAAUGAAGAAAACGAUGAGGACAAACAAGUUACCUCUCUGUUGCAGGAAUACGGUGAGGAACAAGAAAAGUCGGCAAGCGGGCGCUUUCGUCUCCUUGGUUUCGUACAGGAUCCAUCUCGGGUUCCCUCGUCCUCCAGGCUCUGAUCGGCGGCGGCGCCUGCAGGCUCCUCUACCCAGCUCUGUAGCAAACUUUCAACGAGUAUGUUUUGGAGUGUCUCGGCACCUCUCCCGAGAACACUCACAAGACCUUCGCCAACGACAGAAAUAAAUCUUUCUGUCUCAGUCCAGGUCUGCUUGUUCUCUGCUUCAGGCGUUUGCGAACGUCCUCCGUCUGUGGAAAGCAGUGUCUCCGGCUGUGACGGAGAUUUCGCCUGAUUUCCAUCCUCUUGCAUCUGAGACGCACAGUCUUCGUCCUUUGGAGCAGAUCUGUGAGACGUGGACCUGGAACAGCUGACGCCCUCGACAGAAACAGCCGCCUGAUGUGAAGCAGGACGCCUGUGAUGGUUGGUCGAGGCAGAUGUUAAUUCGCCUUUCUCCCAAGGAGGAGCCAGAGUUUCUGGGUAGAGCGGAGGAGGAUCAGAAACGGUUGUCAACGAUAGUCUCCUUCGUUUGGAUCUUUUUUCUCGUCUUCCUCGGACUCCUUCCCUGGAUGAAGCAGCAACCUCCAACCCUGCCUUGUUGUCCGAGGAACUCGGAUGUUCUCUCUCAUCGUGUUCUCUAUCUGCCUCCACAGAGCCGGCAUUACCUGCUACCUCGUCCAUCACGCACGUGGUUCCCGACAACUCUUUUCUGCCGUCGGGAAAUUCGCUGCGUUGUCGCAGACAGUAGUCGGGUACCUCACUCUGCGCACUUUCAAUGGAAACUGAUGGUCCCUUCAAAUCUGUACCUGCAUGAGGCUCCUCGUCACAAUGCACGCUGUUGCUUCCCGAGCUACAAAGGCUUUCGGCACGGUUGUGCAGGCAGGGGAGAAAAACGUUUUCGGGGACUUCUGAAGUCAUUCUGCCGGAGUCUCCUGUUGCAAAUGGCGUGAACCCUGAUGUUUCUUGACACGACAACGGGCGUUGCGCUUCACCCUCUUCUGGGCCUGUCGUGUCUUCGGGAGAGACGAAAACGCAAAAGGAAGGUGAAAACGGGACGUCUUCAUCGUCAAAGUCAGUCUGGCUUGGACAUCCCUUCCUCUCUGAUGAAGAGAGGACUGUCCGAUCGCGAGGCAGCAACAGUGCAGUCAGCCGCUUUUGAGAGCCACCGGAGUGGUGACGGACCGUCCAGGGGUGACUGGUCUGAGUGUGUCUCGAGGAGCAGGACGACCGAGAAACUGAAAACAACGAGGUACUGUUCUGGGAAGGACUUCUAUAGCUAUGUGGGGUUAGCGGCAUUGUUUCCGUUUGCAGCCAGUCGUCUCGUGAGCAGCAAGCCGCCUUUCUAGAGAGAUCGCUGAGACCGUCCUCUUUCCUUUCUCUACUCUUGAACUCCUUCAUAUCGUGUUCCCCACAUCGAAUGCGGGUGUACCGCUUCCUACAGACGCCCCGUAUUCUGACUCGUUUUCUGCCGAUCAUUUCCUCUGCAUUGGUUCUUAACAUUCGUUUCGCUGUGUGAAACUGUCUUCCUUUCUGCAUUUCGUCCUUCUCCCGAAGAGAGCUGAAACUUUCCCGUUCUCUUCCCUCCACUGGCCACGGACAGGAAGCGGGAAAACCUUUCGGUCCAAACGCUAGCAUGCCCUCGCCUGGAGGCGGCACGCUGGGCGUUUUUCUCUGGCACGCCAGCGGGUCCUCGCGAGAUGCAAACACAUCUUCUCGCGUUGAAGAUUGCGAGCAUGUGGAUCUCUCAAACACUGUACAACAAAUCCCAGAGCUCUCCGAGGGAGCAGAACAGAGACGAAAUGGUUCCGUUAGAGAGCCAGGAAGGUCAAAGAUGUUUGUGUCUAUUGGGCGGCAACAGCUCCAGUCGUCGCCGGCACACGCUGCUGUAGGGCCAGUGUGUUUUUCAUCACAGGGUUCCUCCCCAGAAACAAACGUAUCUUCGUCGCUUACGCCAUCUUGUCGGCACUCGUAUUGGUACUUGCUUCUCUCUACCAAACAGUUUUCAUAUUCUC
rnacentral:lncRNA from 1 species